GAUGAACGCUGGCGGCGUGCCUAAUACAUGCAAGUCGAGCGAACGGACGAGAAGCUUGCUUCUCUGAUGUUAGCGGCGGACGGGUGAGUAACACGUGGAUAACCUACCUAUAAGACUGGGAUAACUUCGGGAAACCGGAGCUAAUACCGGAUAAUAUUUUGAACCGCAUGGUUCAAAAGUGAAAGACGGUCUUGCUGUCACUUAUAGAUGGAUCCGGGCUGCAUUAGCUAGUUGGUAAGGUAACGGCUUACCAAGGCAACGAUGCAUAGCCGACCUGUGGGGGGGUAGGCCGCCAGAGAAGGUGAGAGGCGACCCUGACUCCGAGAGAAGGCACAGGUAGGUACUGUACGCAACAGGGGGAAAUCUUGAAGAAGCAACGCGAGGGGGGUGCUGAAGCUCUGCGGGCGGGAAACUCUGUUAUUAGGGAAGAACAUAUGUGUAAGUAACUGUGCACAGCUUGACGGUACCUAAUCAGAAAGCCACGGCUAACUACGUG
rnacentral:rRNA from 1 species